AGCCACCCAAGGUGCUCAAAGUAUCACUGUGUUUCCUUUAAAAAUUUAAACUACCCCACAAUGACCCUGAAAGUUCACUGUGGUAUGCUGGGGCACUUUGGAUAGUCAGUUUGAGAACCAUGGGCAAGUAUCAACUACAGAGCAAGGAAAUCUGAGCUGAAUUUGCAGUUGCAAAUACCCUAGUUGUUCACUAACUGCUGAGUUGAGAGAUUUCCACCACAGAAAAGGCAUGGUUCCCAGACACACUUAGCAGAGCUACCAUCUUUUGGUGCUGUGUAAACCAUGGCGCCUGUUCCGGCCUCUCCUGAUUGCGAGAUGAAUGAAAUCUGAGGCUGUGAUUUCACAUUAUGGAGUGUCCACAUUAGACCCAACAUCACCUUAGUGUAUCUCAUUUUCCUGAACACUCUUCCUCAGUGAAGCCCUUCCUUUCCUUCACAGCCUUCUGAUUGUGCUUACUGCAUUGCAUUGCACAGUUGACAUAUGUGACUCCCUCCUCAACAUUGGUGAAGGAGCCAAUGAAUAAAUGAAGGUGUGCAAGUGAGUAA